UACAGAGGCCUCGAGCGUUAGGCGGAAUCACUGGGCUUAAAGCGUGUGUAGGCGGACUUCUAAGUACCUUGUGAAAUCCCACGGCUCACCCGUGGAACUGCUCGGUAUACUGGUCGUCUUGAGCCUUCUAGGGCGAGUGGAACAAAUGGUGGAGCGGUGAAAUGCGUAGAUAUCGCUUGGAACGCCGAAGGUGAAAACAGGU
rnacentral:rRNA from 1 species